rnacentral:rRNA from 1 species
AACGAACGCUGGCGGCAUGCCUAACACAUGCAAGUCGAACGAGACCUUCGGGUCUAGUGGCGCACGGGUUCGUCACGCGUGGGAACCUGCCCUUAGGUUCGGAAUAACUCCCCGAAAGGGGUGCUAAUACCGGAUAAUGUCUUCGGACCAAAGAUUUAUCGCCUUUGGAUGGGCCCGCGUUGGAUUAGCUGGUUGGUAGGGUAAAAGCCUACCAAGGCGACGAUGCAUAGCUGGUCUGAGAGGAUGAUCAGCCACACUGGGACUGAGACACGGCCCAGACUCCUACGGGAGGCAGCAGUGGGGAAUAUUGGACAAUGGGCGAAAGCCUGAACCAGCAAUGCCGCGUGAGUGAUGAAGGCCUUAGGGUUGUAAAGCUCUUUUACCCGGGAUGAUAAUGACAGUACCGGGAGAAUAAGCUCCGGCUAACUCCGUG